rnacentral:rRNA from 1 species
UACGUAGGGGGCUAGCGUUGUCCGGAAUCAUUGGGCGUAAAGCGCGUGUAGGCGGCCCGGUAAGUCCGCUGUGAAAGUCGGGGGCUCAACCCUCGAAUGCCGGUGGAUACUGUCGGGCUCGAGUGCGGAAGAGGCGAGUGGAAUUCCUGGUGGUAGGCGGUGAAAUGGCGCAGAUAUCAAGGAGGAACACCGAUUAGCGAGCAGCUCGCUGGGCGUUAACUGACGCUGAGACGCGAAAGCGUGGGGAGCAAACAGG